ensembl:lncRNA
CUGGCAGAAGUGGGAGUCUCUUCUUAUCCGGUUCUGAGAAUGAGUAGGUUUCACAGUGCCAGCCGUCAGCCAGGCUCUCUGAUUCCCGUGCAGAAGGCAAGAUGGAGAGCAGGACAUGUGACCAUCAGUAGCAGUUUUAAUGGCAUCUUGUUUCUCCAGUGACUUCAUUCAAAAGGAUGUCCUAUUGUGUCGGCAGAGUGAAGAACACUUCCUCUUGGCAGAGAGAACAAAGAGACUGAGCUCAGUGCAAGCUGGCACUGAAGCCUGUAUCCCUGUGGGAAAUGACAGUAUCAAACAUCCACGGAGAGCUGGAUGUGGGCCCAAGAAGCUGAAGCAGGAAGAUCUUGAGUUCAAGACCAGUAUGGGAAACAUAGCAAGACUCUGUCUUGAGAAAUCAAACUCACGGCUACACUCUCAUUUGUCUUAGACCUUCACUCACCCAGUAUCUCCUCAGCGUGCUG